rnacentral:rRNA from 1 species
AUCGAACGCUGGCGGCAGGCCUAACACAUGCAAGUCGCACGAGUGGCGGACGGGUGAGUAAUGUCUGGGAAACUGCCUGAUGGCGGGGGCUAACUACUGGAAACGGUAGCUAAUACCGCAUACCAUCAGAUGUGCCCAGAUGGGAUUAGCUAGUUGGUGGGGUAACGGCUCACCAAGGCGACGAUCCCUAGCUGGUCUGAGAGGAGGACCAGCCACACUGGAACUGAGACACGGACCAGAAUCCUACGGGAGGCAGAAGUGGGGAAUAUUGCACAAUGGGCGCAAGCCUGAUGCAGCAAUGCCGCGUGUAUGAAGAAGGCCGUCGGGUUGUAAAGUACUUUCAGCGGGGAGGCGUUACCCGCAGAAGAAGCACCGGCUAACUCCGUGCCAGCAGCCGCGGUAAUUC